UACGGGGGGGGGCAAGCGUUGUUCGGAAUUACUGGGCGUAAAGGGCUCGUAGGUGGCCAACUAAGUCAGACGUGAAAUCCCUCAGCUUAACUGGGGAACUGCGUCUGAUACUGGAUGGCUUGAGUUUGGGAGAGGGAUGCGGAAUUCCAGGUGUAGCGGUGAAAUGCGUAGAUAUCUGGAGGAACACCCGUGGCGAAGGCGGCUCUCUGGGACGGUACUGACGCUGAGACGCGAAAGCGUGGGGAGCAAACAGG
rnacentral:rRNA from 1 species